GUGGGGAAUCUUGCGCAAUGGGCGAAAGCCUGACGCAGCCAUGCCGCGUGAAUGAUGAAGGUCUUAGGAUUGUAAAAUUCUUUCACCGGGGACGAUAAUGACGGUACCCGGAGAAGAAGCUCCGGCUAACUUCGUGCCAGCAGCCGCGGUAAUACGAAGGGGGCUAGCGUUGCUCGGAAUUACUGGGCGUAAAGGGCGCGUAGGCGGACAGCUUAGUCAGAGGUGAAAGCCCAGGGCUCAACCUUGGAAUUGCCUUUGAUACUGGCUGUCUUGAAUUUGGGAGAGGUGAGUGGAACUCCGAGUGUAGAGGUGAAAUUCGUAGAUAUUCGGAAGAACACCAGUGGCGAAGGCGACUCACUGGCCCAAUACUGACGCUGAGGCGCGAAAGCGUGGGGAGCAAACAGGAUUAGAUACCCCUGUAGUCC
rnacentral:rRNA from 1 species